UUGAUCCUGGCUCAGAACCGAACGCUGGCUGGCAGGCCUAACACAUGCAAGUCGAACGAAGCCUUCGGGCUUAGUGGCGAACGGGUUAGUAACGCGUGGGAACGUGCCCUUCACUACGGAAUAGUCCCGGGAAACUGGGUUUAAUACCGUAUACGCCCUUCGGGGGAAAGAAUUUCGGUGAAGGAUCGGACCGCGUUGGAUUAGGUAGUUGGUGGGGUAAUGGCCUACCAAGCCGACGAUCCAUAGCUGGUUUGAGAGGAUGAUCAGCAACACUGGGACUGAGACACGGCCCAGACUCCUACGGGAGGCAGCAGUGGGGAAUCUUAGACAAUGGGGGAAACCCUGAUCUACGCCAUGCCGCGUGAGUGACGAAGGCCCUAGGGUCGUAAAGCUCUUUCAGCUGUGAACGAUAAUGACGGUAGCAGACCAGUNAGAAACCCCGGCUAACUCCGUGCCAGACAGCCGCGGUAAUACG
rnacentral:rRNA from 1 species